AGGCUUGGAGUGUUCGUUACAGUAUGUUACAGUAUUUUACAGAGAAAGUUGUUAACAUAUUACAAAAAUAUUUUAGAAAAAUCUCAUUUAUUUCAAAAGAAUUCAACAUAAGCACAACUGCAUUGAAUAUUUGAAUUUAGUGGACUUAAAAAAAACCAUAGUUGUUUUUAGUGGACUAAUCUACAUCUUAAAAUAAUGCAUUUUUUCAGAAAUUACAAGUGAUC